CCUCUGCUGUAAGAAUACGGUUACAGAGGCUUAAGACUUUUUCUAUUAAAGUGGCUGCCUUCACAUAAGGGAACAUCUUAUGAGUCUACAAGUGCUGGAUUGCCCUUUAUCCCACUUUUAAGAAAGAAGAGGAGAGUGAUUCCAACUCCUAGCAGAGGGAUUUGGAGACCUCUGUCCUACCACAUACCCACCUUCCCCUUGAGUCUGCAGAUCAUACAAAAUCCAUGGUGCUUCUGCAGCCAUUAGACAACAACAUUCCAUGAACCACGUGC
rnacentral:lncRNA from 1 species